CUCAUUCAAGAAGUUGCUUUCUACUAUACAGGGGUUACUUGUGAAGAGUGAAAGUUUGAUCUCAUUCAAGAAUCUUACAUUGUGUGGGUCUACAAGUUGCUUACUACUAUACAGGGGUUACUUGUGAAGAGUGAAAGUUUGACCGUUUUUGUUUAGCUUAAUUAAGUCAUGGAUAAGACAUGGAUGAGAUCAAACCGAUUGUCGAAAGAGUACGAGAAAGGGGUAUGGAAAUUCGUUGAGUUUGCGGUUGCGCACUCCGAAGACCCGCUUCGAAUGCCGUGUCCUUAAUUUUAGAUUGCUCCUAUAA